UACGUAGGGUGCGAGCGUUAAUCGGAAUUACUGGGCGUAAAGCGUGCGCAGGCGGCUUUGCAAGACAGAUGUGAAAUCCCCGGGCUCAACCUGGGAACUGCAUUUGUGACUGCAAGGCUAGAGUACGGCAGAGGGGGAUGGAAUUCCGCGUGUAGCAGUGAAAUGCGUAGAUAUGCGGAGGAACACCAAUGGCGAAGGCAAUCCCCUGGACCUGUACUGACGCUCAUGCACGAAAGCGUGGGGAGCAAACAGG
rnacentral:rRNA from 1 species